GAAAUGCGAUAAGUAAUGUGAAUUGCAGAAUUCAGUGAAUCAUCGAAUCUUUGAACGCACCUUGCGCUCCUUGGUAUUCCUUGGAGCAUGCCUGUUUGAGUAUCAUGAAAUCUUCAAAGUAAAUCUUUUGUUAACUCAAUUGGUUUCUACUCUGGUAUUGGAGGUCUUUGCAGCUUCACACCUGCUCCUCUUUGUUCAUUAGCUGGAUCUCAGUGUUAUGCUUGGUUCCACUCGGCGUGAUAAGUUAUCUAUCGCUGAGGACACUGUAAAAGGUGGCCAAGGUAAAUGCAGAUGAACCGCUUCUAAUAGUCCAUUGACUUGGACAAUACUUUUAUGAUCUGAUCUCAAAUCAGGUAGGACUACCCGCUGAACUUAAGC
rnacentral:misc_RNA from 1 species